rnacentral:rRNA from 1 species
AUUGAACGCUGGCGGCAUGCCUUACACAUGCAAGUCGAACGGUAACAGGUCUUCGGAUGCUGACGAGUGGCGAACGGGUGAGUAAUACAUCGGAACGUGCCCGAGAGUGGGGGAUAACGAGGCGAAAGCUUUGCUAAUACCGCAUACGAUCUCAGGAUGAAAGCAGGGGACCGCAAGGCCUUGCGCUCAUGGAGCGGCCGAUGGCAGAUUAGGUAGUUGGUGGGAUAAAAGCUUACCAAGCCGACGAUCUGUAGCUGGUCUGAGAGGACGACCAGCCAGACUGGGGCCGAGACACGGCACAGAAUACGACGGGAGGCAGCAGUGGGGAAUUUUGGACAAUGGGCGCAAGCCUGAUCCAGCCAUGCCGCGUGCAGGAUGAAGGCCUUCGGGUUGUAAACUGCUGUUGUACGGAACGAAAAGACUCCUUCUAAUAAAGGGGGUCCAUGACGGUACCGUAAGAAUAAGCACCGGCUAACUACGUGCCAGCCGCCGCAGUAAGAC